CCCUUAGAUGUUCUGGGCCGCACGCGCGCUACACUGAUGCAUUCAACGAGUCUAAAACCUGCUCUGAUAGGGGUGGGUAAUCUUUUGAAUGUGCAUCGUGAUUGGGAUAGAUGAUUGCAAUUUUUCAUCUUCAACGAGGAAUGCCUAGUAAACGCAAGUCAUCAGCUUGCAUUGAUUACGUCCCUGCCCUUUGUACACACCGCCCGUCGCUCCUACCGAUUGAAUGAUCCGAUGAAUAUCAUGGAUUGAGGAUUAUAGUAGGUUCGCCUGUCUUGAUCUUCGAGAAGUGAAGUAAAUCUUAUCAUUUAGAGGAAGGAGAAGUCGUAACA
rnacentral:rRNA from 1 species